AAAGGAAUUGACGGGGACCCGCACAAGCAGCGGAGCGUGUGGUUUAAUUCGUUGCUACGCGAAGAACCUUACCUGGGUUUGACAUAUAGGUUGUAGGGAACUGAAAAGGGACCGACCCUUCGGGGAGCCUAUACAGGUGUUGCAUGGCUGUCGUCAGCUCGUGUCGUGAGAUGUUCGGUUAAGUCCGCUAACGAGCGCAACCCUCGUCGUAUGUUACAUGUGUCAUACGAGACUGCCGGUAAAAAGCCGGAGGAAGGUGGGGAUGAUGUCAAGUCAGCAUGACCUUUAUAUCCAGGGCUACACACACGCUACAAUGGUCUGUACAAUGGGUAGCCAAGCCGCGAGGUGGAGCCAAUCCUGAAAGCAGGCCUCAGUUCGGAUUGUAGUCUGAAACUCGACUGCAUGAAGUCGGAGUUGCUAGUAACCGCAGGUCAGCAAUACUGCGGUGAAUACGUUCCCGGGUCUUGUACACACCGCCCGU
rnacentral:rRNA from 1 species